UCCUAUGGUCGCCCACUGAAGCUAAGCAGGGCUGCGCCCGUUCAGUACUUGGAUGGGAGACCACAUGGGAAAACUAGGUUGCUGCCGGAA
rfam:Danio rerio chromosome 21, GRCz11 reference primary assembly.